rnacentral:ncRNA from 2 species
AAACGGUUACAUGACUGGCGGAAAUAUUGUAGACUUAACUACGAUGAAGUGUAACUGGAGAAAUGCCGACCGCCUGGGCGAUUAUU